rnacentral:tRNA from 37 species
GGCAGGUUGCCCGAGCGGCCAAUGGGAGCGGACUGUAAAUCCGUCGGCUUACGCCUACACAGGUUCGAAUCCUGUACCUGCCACCA